GGGGUUUGUUGAGGAUGAUAAGAAAAAAACAUAUGCAUAUCCUGUGACUGAGGGCAAGCAAAGUAGUCAAAACUAUCAACAGACUCAUCUUCAUCUGUCUCAUUCCUAUCUUUCGGUUCAGGGUUCUGCUGCUGAGCUGCUGCCUCCACUUCCACCAGUUUCCCUAGACUUUCCUGCACGUAUCACAUAAAAACAAAUAAUCUGUAGGGCUUUAGCAUAUUUGACAUGGAAAACACGUUUUAACUGAACCAAUUAAGAUUUUUUUCAAUGGCAAAAUAGGCAGGCUUAUUCCAUAUUACUAUUACUAAUGAUCAAAAGUAUAACGGGCCACUACUAUCAUUUUGGCAUAGAAAGUGGUUUUAUUGGAACUGAUGCUUGCUUGUUCACACACUAGCUCACCUGUUUCUUCCUCACCACUGGCUCCUGGCUCUGACUCUAAAUCAUAAAAAUGGUCAUAAAUCUCGUCUCAAAUCUACCCUUUUUCAAGUCAAAAAUUCAAGUCAGUUUCAUAUUGUAGUGCUGAAUGAUCUAUCGUCAUCAAUUGCAAUCUGCGUCCAAUCAGCGUACGGAGGGAGUGGCUGAGAACAAUGACGUUAUAGUCAGCUCUCGUUUACGGACAUCUUCAUGCACGGUGUUUGGUUUGUUUACAGCCUGCGCGCAACGUGAUUCCCGGCCAAGCGUUAGCGAUUGGUUAUGGCAGAUCCAGAGUGGCACUGGGCAGAUCCAAUAGUUUUAAACUUCAACAGACACCCGUCUUCAAUCAUCACCAUCACAAUUAUACUUCAACCCUGCUCUACUGCCGGAGUACCAUCAUCAUCAAAUCGUCGGGUGUGGCUGUUGGUUCGGCUGCCAGCCGACUCAUCCAACCCCGGUUCGGACUACCCGGUCCGUGGAUUCAGGAUUACCCCUAACGGACGCAACCACCAGCACCAACCUUAAUCAACCGUGGACUAAUAAACUGUUAAACUGUUUCCGCUCUCGUCUGUGGUCAUUUGUGGCGUGCGUUUGGGUCCAUCCCGUCUUGAAUCGUAACAAAUUAGUUACCUAUUGCAGAUGGAGGCCUAUAACAACCAACUAUCAUGAUAUGAUGGUCUUUCGAAAAAUGUAAGGCCAGAAGCUCAAAUUGUUUACCGAAGGAUUCAGUGAGCACUAAAUUAACAAUCAAUUUUCGUUUGGCAUAAAUAGCAACACCACCCCCCUUAUAGUGGCUUUUUUGCCAAGAUUAGAAGCCACUAUAGGAGCGAGGUAGACGCGCAUCCAAAACCAAAGUAAAGCAAUCUGAUUCGAAGUUUAAACAAAAAUGCUUUAUUAAAUAAACCUUCAAACAAAAAUGAUUCGUCUUCGUUAUUGUUAUUGUUUCCAUUGCAUUAUUUCCAUUAUGGCUCCAACAUACCAG
rnacentral:lncRNA from 1 species